GGCUUCCGGCGGAGGGCUGGGUAGUAGCUCGCAGCCGUCAUGGCAGCGGAGGAGAAGGACCCUCUGAGCUAUUUCGCGGCAUACGGGAGCAGCAGCUCAGGCUCCUCGGACGAGGAGGAUAACAUCGAGCCGGAGGAGACAAGUCGCAGAACCCCGGAUCCGGCGAAGUCGUCGGGCGGCUGUAGGAACAAGGCGGAGAAGCGGCUCCCGGGACCCGACGAGCUGUUUAGGAGCGUGACUCGCCCGGCCUUUCUCUACAAUCCGCUCAACAAGCAGAUAGACUGGGAGAGGCACGUCGUCAAGGCGCCUGAGGAGCUUCUCCCUGAGACCCCUUCCCUUUGACGCCGAAGUGCCUGCGGUGCUGCCUCCAAGACAGUGUCUGCUGCAGCUUCCUGAAGGGGUCAGCCUUGGCGUAGUAUCUCUGAGACUGGAUUCUUCUUUGCCUCCAAAGGAAUUCAAAAUAUGGAAGUCAAAUUAUGUACCACCUCCUGAGACCUACACCACUGAGAAGAAGCCUCCGCCUCCAGAGCUUGACAUGGCAAUAAAAUGGUCUAACAUAUAUGAGGACAAUGGUGAUGAUGCUCCACAGAAUGCUAAGAAAGCUAGGCUUCUACCAGAAGGGGAGGAGACGUUGGAAUCAGAUGAUGAAAAAGAUGAGCAUACUUCUAAAAAGCGCAAAGUAGAGCCAGGAGAACCAGCAAAGAAGAAAAAGUAGAAACAAAUGACCAGAAUUUCUGUACUGCUAAACUUGUUGAAAUGUUUCUUUGGACAGAUUAAGUUGAUAUUGUGGGUUAUUAUGCCACAUCUCCAUGAAAGUGCAUACAUUAAUGAACUAAUAAGUAUUGCCUCAAGAAAUUUCCACUAUAAAAUUCUUUUUUUAUUUAAAACAUGUAUGUAUUUAAAACUCAACUGGUGACUUGUGAUUGUGAAAUUGAUAACACUUGGAUGCAUUCUUGCUCUCACAGAAUUGGUGACAUGCUUUGAGUUUUGUCACAUGUUGACAUGCCAAUGUUCUAUAAACCUUUUAUAAAGGAAUAUAUUUUUAAAGUAAAUAUAUUGUAAUGUACUGUGAACUUGUAGGGUGCUUUUCAACAGUCUUUGUACAGUGUAAAUAGAUCAUGGAAAUAAAAUUACUUAUUCAAUAUUACUAUUACUGUAUAACAUUAACAUUUGAAUGUUUGUCUGUGACAAGUACCCUAUUUGUCGUGUGACAUUUUAAGUUGUAAUAAGAAGUAUUACCAUUUUAAGUUGUAAUAAGAAGUAUUACCAUUUUAAGUUGUAAUAAGAAGUAUUACCAUUUAAAGAGUGCCUCCUGUGUUCCAGGUGCUUUGUGCAUAUAUUUUCUCUGAUCCUUAAACAACCUAGCAAGGUAUUAUUAGUAUUCUCAUUUUAUAAUAAAGAGUGCUUGAGUAGCUUGUCUAAUGUUACACAGCUAGUGAGUGAUUCAUUUGGAAUUUAACUUGGAACACUUGAACUUCAAAAUCAUCACAUUAAACCACCUGUCCACCAGUCAAAAUUUAGUCAUCUUUCAAGAAUGACAUCAGUUGUCAUCUCUUCCAGGUACUUUUCUGUUGUACCUGGAUAUCUGUUAGUGGAGAUCUUUUCCUCUCCUGAUUGUAUGAGUGUACUUGUCAUCUGUGCUUUAUGGUUAUUCAUUAAUUUCUUUAUUAAAUUGUAAGUUUACAGGACAUUCAGUUAAAUUUGAAUUUCAGAUAAAUAAUGUUUUAGUAUAUUUAAUAUUCAGGACAUAUACAAAAAGUGUGUUUAUCUGAAAUUCAAAUUUAACUGAACAUCUUUUAUCUGGUAACCCUAACUUCUACAUGUUUUCUCUACCCAGCUUCUAUUUUAAUGCUUUGCGUAUAGUAAUAAUAAAAUGAACAAGAAGUAGUUGGGAAGGUGUGAUCUUUGAGUUCCAAAAUGCAGUUAUUUGUAGCAUUUUGAACAAUAAAAAGGUUACACUCUGCAUCAAUCUUUCCAUGAAUCUCAAGCCCUUAAGAGAUAAGAAUUACAGAACAGUGCACAUUCAGUGUAUAAGAACAAGACAGCCAAGCAUGGUGGCUUAUGCUUGUAAUCCCAGCACUUUGGGAGGCCGAGGUGGGAGGAUAGCUUGAGGCCAAGAGUUGGAGACCAGCCUAGACAACAUGACAAGACCCCCAUCUCUACAAAAAAUAAUUUAGAAAGAAAAAGACAUAAUCUGACUAUUUUUUUAAAUCUGUUUUUCCACAUUGUGGAAGAUAAAAUUUGAACAACUAUGCGAGAUUUGUUUACUUAGGCAUGUGUAUCAAGUAGAUUAAAAUUUAUAAAAGUCAUUAAGAGUGAUUGCAUCAGCCAUGGUGCUUUGUGGAGUGAAGGUCCAUAACAGCAUGAUGGCUUCCAGUAUAUCUCGAGUUUAGAAAAACCAAUUCUAUAGCUGCCCAUCCUCUAGGUUUGCAAAUAUAUGAAUCCCAAAAUUGAAGUAAUUGCUAAAGCAAGAAUAUGUUUUUUUAAGAUUGUAGUCUUUGUAAUGAAUUUGGAAAUCUGUGGUAUCAUAUACUAAGGAGUGGCAUCAAGUGAUAAAGCAAGACCAUAGUAUGACAUGACACCAAAUACAACCAAAUCAAGUUAUAUUUGUGAAGUUGUGAUUCCCAAGCUCUGGAGAAAUCUAAAAUUUGGAUGCAUGUGUUGGUGGAGCAAAUAUCUCAGAAGUUACUGAAAUAUUGCAAGGUUCUUAAGUUAGCAUGAAAGCAAACUUUUUUCUCUCUUUCCUGGGAGAUGUGCAGAGUAUGUUUUAUGAGGAGGAAGACAGGACUUAGGAGGGAAGAGUCUAAAUAUUUUGGAGGAAGUCUGACUCAGCCAUUUGUAUCUCCUGGUUGGAAAAUGGACUGUCAUAUCACUCUACAUUCAUCAUCACAUUAGAGAAUAGAUUAUUUUCCCCUUUAGAGAUGUCCUGGGAACGUGUUUGCACAAGUGUCCAUGUGGGUACAGAGGUGAAGUUUGGUUGAGCUAGUGGAAACCUAGUGGGGAAAACUCUUAAAAAUCCAUAUACGUAAGAAAAAUCAUCUGUCCAAGUAUCUUUCAUUUUAGAGAAUCGAGUUACUUGAUACUUCUGGUCGUUUCCUCUACUUUAAGGAAGUUAAGCCUGGGCAACAUGUUGAGAUCCUGAUCUGGUUUGGCUGUGUCCCCAACCAAAUCUCACUUGAAUUGUAAUUCCCACAAUUCCCACGUGUCAUGGGUGGUGACUGAAUUAUGGGGGUAGGUCUGUUCUUAUGAUACUGAAUGAGUCUUAUGAGAGCUGAUGGUUUUAAAAACCAUCAGUGCAGGGAGUUGCCCUGCACAUAAGAUGUGUCUUGCUCCUCCUUGCCUUCUGCCAUGAUUGUGAGGCUUCCCCAGCCAUGUGGAACUGUAAGUCCAAUUAAACUCUUUUGCAAA
rnacentral:sRNA from 1 species